rnacentral:lncRNA from 1 species
AAAAAGGGGAGGAGGGCAGCACCGCUACAGUGAUAGAGGAGGACCCCAAAUCUUCGUCUCUUUCAUUCCCCGCCAGGACCCUUGAGCUUCCUCUUCUUCAAUGGAGAACUGAGCAAAAGUAACGCACCCUUCCCAGCGUCCUCUGCUUCCUCCGAUCGGUUUCCAAACAUUUGGUUCUCGAAUGGAGUUCAAUCACAGUGAGUUUGACGUUCGAGUUGCCGAGGUCGAGUUUUUUGGCGUGUUCUUUGGUUGACGGAUUCGUUCGAGGCUUCUGAUCUGAGUCCUUGUUCCAUUGGUGUACACUUUGCUGGAAUUUUAAUUGAAUUUGUUUUGUGUUCUCUGUACAAAUGCUAGCUCGUUCAUAAGAAAUUAGCGUGCUUAUCGAUUCUAUGAAUGGAGUCCGAUUGAUGUGCUGAGGUUCCGUUCGAGUUUGCGUUGAGGUUCGAUUUGAGAUCGUUAAUCUCUUUUUCCGGUUUAAGGUCUGAAUUUCGAUCCUUUAAUUUACAUGUUCUGUUUCUGUUUAUUUACGAUGCUAUUUUAUGAAGUCCUCACUAUUGUUAAUUGCUUUCCCCCUAUUUUUAUCGAUAUCAGUGACUUGUAGUUCACAAUCACAUUGGAAGUUUCCUUAUUCAUUUUUACGAGUAUCUCCCUUCAAUUUCAUAACAUGGUUUGGGUAGCAUGAAUUUGGAGUUGCACGUCGUAAAUUCUGCCAUUUUUAUGGAAUCGGAAGUUGGUUGGCUUCAUUUUGUUGUUUGUUGGGUCCGGUUCGGCGGUCUUCUUGUUUUGACCCGGUUCCUUCUCAUCAGUGAGGUUUGGUUUCUUCCAUUGUAUUCUCAAAUCAUAUUCUUAAGCAUAUGAAUAAACAACUGUGUUUUGGGUAAUAUGUGGAAAUGGGAUCGAAUUUCUUUUAUUUGCUAUAUGAAUUUGAUUAUUUAGUUCAUUUAAGGACUAACUUUGGCAGUGAUUUAAAUUUGUUGAAAUUGAAAUAAUGGUUUUUUGUUUGCCACAAGCAAAUAUGUAAUGCAUGUUUAAUUUGAUGAAUGUUUUGUUAGUUUACGUUGAUUGUUGGUUUAUUAGUUUGGCCAUGAAUUUGUUUGGGACACGUCAAUCUCACGCCCUUUUGACCAAACGCAGAAUCAUCCCUACCCUUGAAGCUUUACGUAGAGUUGUUUAUUUCUUUAUGUAUCUUUUCGAGAUCUGCUUAGAUGAAGCCCGUAGGUGAAUAACAUAAGAAUAUCGAAGUCUACUUUAGUUAAGUUAUAAAUUAUUGGGAAUAAGUUGAGGUGUGCCAUGCCAAACAAAAAUGACAAUUGCAUGACCCUCGCUUUAUUUAAUCUCGAAUUGAUCCUUAGAUUUCGAGGCGUGCCUUUUAACAAAUUCCCUGGCCCUCGCAAAGUGCAAACACGCAGUUGUUUUAGGUGCGUAUUUAAUAAUAUUACUUUCUUAAAUUCGGGUGCGCAGAUGCGAUCAAAAUCCAAAUCUCGACGUAGUCGAAUUGUAUUGACGACCGCGGGUGCCUUGAUGGCGACGUGAUCAGAGAUGCGUUUUCACGACGUUGCAAUUCUCUUAAAAUAAAUAAUGAUAAAAGCAGUUUACGAAUAAAAAGCAUAAGUUAGCAUGUAUUAAAAUCAGAUAAAAUCAAAUGCAACAGUUAAGCGACCGUGCUAGAAUCAUGGAAUUCGGGAAUGACUAACACCUUCUCCCGGGUUAACAAAAUUUCUUAUCCGGAUUUUUGGUUCGCGAACUGUGACAGAGUCGUCUUUUUCCUCGGUUCGGGAUUCAACUGGUGACUUGCGAUACCAUUAAUCUCCCAAGUGGCGACUCUGAAAUAAUUAAUAACCAAAUCCCGUUCCGGGUUUCCUUUAAGUGGAAAAGCUCCUUUACGCUCCUUUGAGGGGGUGUACAACGAAAAAAGGAGGUGUGACACACAGAGGCCGUGUACUGUCAAAUAUUUGUUAUUUGCUGUUUGUACUCAGUCUCAUAUUCUACUUGCCGAUCAUAUCUAAGUCUCCAUUAUUCCUUGUUAAUACAUCAUGUUAUUGCUGUAUGGGCUAAAUUUCUUUCAUAAUUUCUGAGAGCCCGAGAGACUAGAGAGAUUGAUGACUGAGUAAGGUUGAGGGCCUGAUUGUGAAAUAUUUAUGGGAUCGGGUUGCACGCUGCAACAUGUUUCAUUGAUUGUGCAACGAGUCAGUGUGAGGAAUGAGAGAUGGUGAGAUUGGAGCGAAUUAGAGGACUGAGUGGUUGUUGCUCUGAGAGGCUGCACUUGAUGUCAUUGUAUGUAUGUAUGUAUACUAAGUUUCAAAAAAAUUUAUGGUAAAUGUUAAUAGUUUGCACUUUUAAUAUAGCUCUUUACCUUUACAUUCUAGUUUGAUUGUUAAUUUUCUUUUUUAGUGCAAGAAUCACUUUGUUGUUAAAAAAAUAUAUUUUAAUUGAGUCUUUAAAUUAUUCAUCACUAUUCGAUUCAAUUAUCAUCAAUAUAUCUUGGUAAAUAAUAGAUUUCUCAAAAGGCAAUUGAUUUGAUAGUGUUAAAUUGAAAAUGUGGUCGCCGAGAUAUGUAGUCGAUAGUGUAUAUCUUAUAUUUAAGAAAAAAUCAACAAAUAACCAAAAAAAUCAAAAAAUCGACAUAAAACGAAUCGAGAAAAAUCGACUUAAUUGGUUUGGUUUGGUUCCAAUAUUUGAAAAACCGACUUACUUGGUUUGGUUUCUUUUUAGGGAAAAAUCGAUCCAAACCGAACCAUGAACACCCUAGACAUAAAUAAACUUAUUUGACUUAAACUGCCUGACUUGAAAGCAUGCAUACUUUCUUUUAUUGUGAUUAAUGAAAUUGAACUAUAACUGUGUAGCUCGUUAUUAUCUUUCAGUUCCUUAUUUAGUAUUAUUACUUAUUGAGUUGGUUGUACUCACGCUACACCCUACACUUUAUGUGCAGAUUUAGGUGCUUCUGUGCAUGGUGGGUGUUGAUACUGUGCACAACUGAUCUGUGGAGACUUCAAAGUAGGUGUCCGGCGUUCGCAGUCCUUAUUUCUCCUUCCUUAUCUUUUCUUUUAUUGUAUUUAGACAUACUUUCAUAGACAUUACUUUUCUAGACUGGUGAUGUAUAGACGCUCAUGAACUGAGUGACACCCACCCCGAUUUAGGAGUUUUCCGUAUUUGUGUUUUGGGUUUUACCCCAUUUAUGAGAAUUUUGUCAUUUAAAAACUACUUUUAUGUAGAAAAUCACUUUAUCUAUGAUAUGUGCGCUUU